UACAGAGGGGGCAAGCGUUGUUCGGAAUUACUGGGCGUAAAGGGCGCGUAGGCGGCCUGUUAAGUCGACCGUGAAAUCCCCGGGCUCAACCCGGGAACUGCGUCCGAUACUGGCAGGCUUGAAUUCGGGAGAGGGAUGUGGAAUUCCAGGUGUAGCGGUGAAAUGCGUAGAUAUCAGGAGGAACACCAAUAGCGAAGGCAGCUCGCUGGGACGUUACUGACACUGAGGCGCGAAAGCGUGGGGAGCGAACAGG
rnacentral:rRNA from 1 species